GACGAACCGAGCGAACGUUGUUCGGAAUCACUGGGCUUAAAGGGCGCGUAGGCGGGUGCUCAAGUCCGUGGUGAAAUCCCCCGGCUCAACCGGGGAAUUGCGCGUGAUACUGGCGGGCUCGAGGCGGGUAGGGGUGAGCGGAACUCCAGGUGGAGCGGUGAAAUGCGUAGAUAUCUGGAGGAACACCGGUGGCGAAAGCGGCUCACUGGACCUGAUCUGACACUGAGGUGCGAAAGCUAGGGUAGCAAACGGG
rnacentral:rRNA from 1 species